rnacentral:rRNA from 1 species
GUCUACGGCCAUGCUACCCUGAACAAGCCCGAUCCCGUCUGAUCUUGUAAGCUAAGCAGGGUCGGGCCUGGUUAGUACUUGGAUGGGAGACCACAUAGGAAGACCAGGUGCUAUAGACG